rnacentral:rRNA from 1 species
GACGAACGCUGGCGGCGUGCUUAACACAUGCAAGUCGAACGGAAAGGCCCUGCUUUUGUGGGGUGCUCGAGUGGCGAACGGGUGAGUAACACGUGAGUAACCUGCCCUUGACUUUGGGAUAACUUCAGGAAACUGGGGCUAAUACCGGAUAGGAGCUCCUGCUGAAUGGUGGGGGUUGGAAAGUUUCGGCGGUUGGGGAUGGACUCGCGGCUUAUCAGCUUGUUGGUGGGGUAGUGGCUUACCAAGGCUUUGACGGGUAGCCGGCCUGAGAGGGUGACCGGCCACACUGGGACUGAGCUACGGCACAGACUCCUACGGGAGGCAGCAGUGGGGAAUAUUGCACAAUGGGCGGAAGCCUGAUGCACCAACGCCGCGUGCGGGAUGACGGCCUUCGGGUUGUAAACCGCUUUCGCCUGUGACGAAGCAUGAGUGACGGUAAUGGGUAAAGAAGCACCGGCUAACUACGUG